UGUAAAAUGCCUUCUUCUUCACGCCUCUAGGAGUCUCUAACCUUUUCGUGUAAUCUCUCUCAUCUGUGGAUGAAGCGCAUAACCUAGGAUUUAGUUUUUGUUUUUUUUUUUUGGUUUUCUUAAACAAAAUCUUAGCAAUAGGAAAGUCUCAGCAUAGUAUCAGAUCACCGGACCAACGUCAUGUGUCCUGGCGACGAAAGGUAACGCUGAUUCGAAAGCCAAUCUUGUGGAAGCUCGUGGACCCUGGUUACUGGGAAUUGAAAGAGAAUCUCCUAGAUGAAUCAUCACAAUCUGAAGUUGGCCAAAACAGUAGCUUGAUUGAUUUUGUGCUUGCGGAAAUUCAAAAACUUGCCUUGAAUAUUCUCCGCUUCAAAUCUAAAUACAGCAAUAGGAUUCGUGUGGAUAUCAGCAAACAAGAUGGAAAGACAUGAAAGACAAGAAAAUAUAUGGACAAUGAUGUCACAAACUUACUGAGAUCUGGAUGCAGCAUAAGCAAUGUCUGAAAAAUCCCGCAUUAGCCAUUUCUAAGAUCAAAUUCAUAAAGAAUCUGGAGAGUAAGAUAAUGUGCAAUAUGAUUAAUAAAAGAUGAAGCAGUUGAAUAUAAGAGGAAAUACAGAAUACUGCAGUUGUCUAGGAAUCAUAUUUUUGCCUUGAGGGAAAAAUCAGAAACUUAGAAGUAUUUUCAGACCGGAUAGUUGACUGAGAUAGUGUACCAAAUUGUAAAUCCUUCCUUGGUCCUGAUAUUCAAUGCUGGCAAACUCAUCGGAAGUGAUAACUAAGGCGACCUCUGCAAGGACUGAACAAUUUUUUAGAAUGAUAGCCCCAAUUUUCCUUGGAUGGCAACCUGUUUUAGCUUUGGGGCUGGAAUACUAAAACAAGCUAAAAUUUGGAGACCAUAUGCAAAUGGGUCAGAUGUUCACAAGACCAUAUGCAAGCUGGUAACUUAUACGAGUUUGCAAAAUCAAUUGCGGUGCAAACAUACUAAAGAGUGAAUUCCCUGAUACUGUUUCUUGCAAGAUAAUAUAUCCAGGUCUGAAGAUCAGAGAACUUUUCUGGGAAGGUGUUGCAAAGCUGUAUAUUGCCUCAAUGAGAUAGCAGAACAUUAAAAAUGUAGUAUUAGAGACCUCUUGUAUUUGGAGAAUUCCAAAGGGCACGGUUUGAGACCACAUCAAAGAGCAGCUUUGAAAGGUUAACCCAUUUAUGUCUCCAUUGUCUAGAUUGGACGCUUGUUCUCACAGCCUCUUUUAUCUGUAGACGACCAGGGAUGUUGUCCAAAAUAGCCCAUGGUAGUUCACUAAGUCAAUCGAUUACUGUAAGCUCACCUUUGAGCUGAUCAUGCCCGAUUUUCGCUUGAGUACUCGUAUCUACACAUUGUAACUGGUAGAGAUAAGGCCACAUUUGACAUAAUCAAAGGGAAAAAUUUUCAA